UGUAGGAGCUGGCUUGCCUGCGAUGGCCUUACCGCGGAGUGCCUGACACACAGCGGUGAGGCCAUCGCAGGCAAGCCAGCUCCUACA
rnacentral:misc_RNA from 1 species